rnacentral:sRNA from 1 species
AACCCAUAGGGCCUGGGCAGGGAAGGAACCCAGACUGCCUGCGCGUCGGCUGCGCACCCAGUAAAGGCCCCGAAACGCUGUUUGCGGGGCACAAGCUCAAUGACAAUGAGUGGCACACGGUGAGGGUGGUCCGGCGUGGCAAGAGCCUGCAGCUGUCUGUGGACAACGUGACUGUGGAGGGACAGAUGGCAGGGGCCCAUACGCGGCUGGAGUUCCACAACAUUGAGACGGGCAUCAUGACGGAGCGGCGGUUUAUCUCCGUGGUGCCCUCCAACUUCAUCGGGCAUCUGAGUGGGCUCGUGUUCAACGGCCAGCCCUACAUGGACCAGUGCAAGGAUGGUGACAUCACCUACUGCGAGCUCAAUGCUCGCUUUGGCCUGCGUGCCAUCGUGGCCGAUCCUGUCACCUUCAAGAGUCGCAGCAGCUACCUGGCACUCGCCACGCUCCAAGCCUAUGCUUCCAUGCACCUCUUCUUCCAGUUCAAGACCACGGCCCCUGAUGGGCUUCUUCUGUUCAACUCGGGCAACGGCAAUGACUU